rnacentral:rRNA from 1 species
UACGUAGGACCCAAGCGUUAUCCGGAGUGACUGGGCGUAAAGAGUUGCGUAGGUGGUCAGUAAAGCGAAUAGUGAAAUCUGGGGGCUCAACCUCACAGGCUAUUAUUCGAACUCACUGACUCGAGAACAGCAGAGGUAACUGGAAUUUCUGAAGUAGGGGUAAUAUCCGUAGAUAUCAGAAGGAACACCAAUGGCGUAGGCAGGUUACUGGGCUGUUUCUGACACUGAGGCACGAAAGCGUGGGGAGCGAACCGG